rnacentral:rRNA from 1 species
UACGUAGGAGGCAAGCGUUAUCCGGAUUUACUGGGCGUAAAGCGGGCGCAGGCGGUCUUUCAAGUUUGAUGUAAAAUCUCCUGGCUCAACUGGGAGGGAACAUUCAAUACUGUUGGACUAGAGGACAGCAGAGGGAGGUGGAAUUCCCGGUGUAGUGGUGAAAUACAUAGAUAUCGGGAGGAACACCAGUGGCGAAAGCGGCCUCCUAGGCUGUUACUGACGCUGAGGCCCGAAAGCGUGGGGAGCAAACGGG